CCAUUUUGAAGACGGUGUUUUCUCCCCCUUGGGUACGUUUUCCAAGAGCUCUCCCAUCAGAAAAAUCCCUUGUGAAGAGGACGUGGGUGUCCCAUCUCAUUAAAGUGACAAGAGCUUGUGUUGGGUUUUCUUCUCACUGGGACCCAGGCCAGGUGCAUGACUUGACCUUAGAGAGAGCCAAGCUUUUGGAACAGGCCUGUAUGAGAAAUGGCAGAUGCCAAGGUCUGAAGUCCCUCCUCCUUCUCGAACACCCUCUAGAACCAUAGAAUCUCAGAACUGGAAGGUGCCCUUCAGGCCCCUGGCUACAUAGACAAAGGCUCUGAGCGCUGGAGGGGAAGCAAGUGUACCAGUUAUUGGUACAGCCAGGACCAAACCUGGGUGUCCUGGGAGUCUUAGUUCAGGGUUCCCACCACCACCAGCCUCCAGCUGCCUCCAAUAACCAUCAAACAGCAGCCAAGAAAUCAGUGAAAUUCCCACACUCGUGCUGGGAUGGCUCAGAUGAUGCGAAUGCUCGGUGAGGCCAGGCGUGGUGGCUGCAGGAUCUGAGAGAACAUAGGGUGCACCCAGGUACCAUCCACUUCGCAGUCACUGCUGGACCAGAGCUUGCCUCUUGGGAUGCUCCAGAGCUGGAAGGAGACCUUGGAGCUCAUGCGGCUUCCUGCAUGGGUUUCCAUAGAGAAUGUGACACACGACUGUGAAGACCAUUUUGUUUUCUAGAGCUCUGUUUCCUCUUACUCCAUCCCCAUUCAGUCUGUGAAAAUUGCCCAAUGGAAACCCCACAUUCUGCUCUUAUCAGUGGCCGUUGUAAGUGUGGCUGUCACAAAAUAUGGCUGUCGUAAGGGCAGGAGAACUCCAGAAGGAUUCCAUCUAAUCCAGUAGCCCAAGGAGAAAGGCCUCUCCCUCAUUUCACAGUUGGCUGGCAUCCUCCCCACACUGAGCAUCCUGGGGCCAGACUGAAAGUGGGCCAUCUCCCUCCCAAGCACUCCCCUAGCAAGGAGGAAUCCUGCGGCCGGGACGCCCAGCACAGUGCAACGCUGAAUGUCAGCUGUAUGUGUUUAGCGAGGCUGCUAAGACACUCAACACGAAGGGGACCACCUCGGGCCAGUGACCAAGAGUCUGUCCUUGACCAAACUCUAGCCAGGCUCCUCUGAGCCCUCUUCUCAACUAGUGCUCAACCUUGUCCCAUAAAGACUUAAACAAAACACUAACAUAGUUUUUAACAGCUCAAGACCGUAUCCCUAGGAUGACCCUAAACCCCACUUAAGGUAUUGCCUGAGAAAACUCAAGGCUGCCGAAAGAACUGACUGUUCCAGCAACACUUGAAGACAGGGCCCCUGUCUCCCUGCCAGUGUGGGAGGGUAGGAGCCUAAGUGCCAGCUAGCAAACCCAGAUGGGUUUCCCAUGGACCAACCCCUGCCCCCAUAGUUUGUAAUUUUUCACUUCCCUGACUGUACGGAGCCCCUGGUCACCCCCCUCCCCAUUCCUUCUUUCUUCCUUUAAAACACUCAGGUGCUUCUGUGCAAAUCAAAGUUGAGUUCAGUUCACACUGGGCUCUUUUCCCUAUUACAAUGGUAUGUUACUGAUUAAAAUCCGUCCUCACCACUUUCACGUCCAGCUUGGUUUAUCUUUGACGCCAGUCAGCUGGGG
ensembl:lncRNA